UGCAAAGAAGUUGUUAAAGCAUUCAUUUUUCAAGCAAGCUAGAUCAAAUGAUUACAUAUUGCGAACACUUUUGGAGGGGCUACCUGCUCUUGGUGAUCGUCUUAAGGCCUUGAAGAGAAAAGAAGAAGAUAUGCUUGCACAAAAGAAAAUACCAGAUGGGCAAAUGGAGGAAAUGUCACAGAAUGAAUAUAAACGAGGGAUUAGUGGUUGGAACUUCAACGUUGAAGA